GGAGUUCGGUCCGUGUCUCAGUACCGAUGUGUGGGACCUUCCUUUUAGAACCCAUAAGCAUCAUCGUCUUGGUGAGCCGUUACCUCACCAACUAACUAAUGCUACGCAUGCCCAUCCUUUAUCAAUAAAUCUUUAUCAUCUCUCAGAUGCCUAAAAAUGAACUAUCAGGUAUUAAUUCUCCUUUCGGAAAGCUAUCCCUGAAUAAAGGGUAGGUUGCAUACGCGUUACUCACCCGUCCGCCGCUCGUCGGCAAGUAUUGCUACUCACCGCGAUGCCCCGCGACUUGCAUGUGUUAAGCCUGUAGCUAGCGUUCAUC
rnacentral:rRNA from 1 species